AUUUUUCUUUUUUUUUAGGGUAUGAUUAAUUAAACAUCUGUAUCCUAGUUUAUAAAUAUUCUUGUAACCUUGGUUUUCCAGGAAAGAUCUGAUUAGAAAUCAGCUGUUUCUUAUAGAAGAUCAAUUGUUUCAUAGAAGCUGAGAGAGAGAGUCAGAGAGUUAUGAAAACUCCUCUCAUGACAGUGGAAGUGGUAAUGGGUUGUGCCUUUGCCUAGAUCAGAAGACAAACUAGGUCCAAAUGCUUGACCUGCUGCACAAGGCCUGGGAAGAGCCUGGGAAGAGCCUGGGAAGAGCCUGGGAAGAGCCUGGGAAGAGCUGAGCAGCUGAGUGGCCGGGCCAGGGUGAGGUUCUGUACCUUCUCUCUGCUCCUUUCACCCUCCUGCUCAGCCACCUCAGUUGAGACUGGCUCCCAGCGGAGCAUGCAACUUCUUCCUGUCAAAACUAGGCCUAGAAAGAAGGCCUGGUAAAGCCAUCCAUGCUGAGGCCUUCAAACUUAGACUAGAACUUACACCAUCAGUUCUCCUGGUUGUCAGGCCUUUGGAUUCGGACAGUAUCUACAUCACCAGUUUUCCUGGGUCUCCAGCUUGCAGAUGGCAGAUAGGACUUCUCAGCCUUCACAAUUGUGUCA
rnacentral:lncRNA from 1 species